UCCCUGAUGGUCCAGUGGCUAAGACUCCAUACUACCAAUGCAGGGGCCCAGGUUCAAUCCCUGGUCAGGGAA